AAAUUGAAGAGUUUGAUCAUGGCUCAGAUUGAACGCUGGCGGCAGGCCUAACACAUGCAAGUCGAACGGUAACAGGAAGCAGCUUGCUGCUUCGCUGACGAGUGGCGGACGGGUGAGUAAUGUCUGGGAAACUGCCUGAUGGAGGGGGAUAACUACUGGAAACGGUAGCUAAUACCGCAUAAUGUCGCAAGACCAAAGAGGGGGACCUUCGGGCCUCUUGCCAUCGGAUGUGCCCAGAUGGGAUUAGCUUGUUGGUGGGGUAACGGCUCACCAAGGCGACGAUCCCUAGCUGGUCUGAGAGGAUGACCAGCCACACUGGAACUGAGACACGGUCCAGACUCCUACGGGAGGCAGCAGUGGGGAAUAUUGCACAAUGGGCGCAAGCCUGAUGCAGCCAUGCCGCGUGUAUGAAGAAGGCCUUCGGGUUGUAAAGUACUUUCAGC
rnacentral:rRNA from 2 species